CAGUUCAUUCCUUUCUUGUCUGUUUGAACUUCAGUUGGUCGUCUUCACCACGUCUACAUGCUGCUGUGUGCGUGGCUGGUUGGAUAUCUGAGUUAACAAGAAGUUGGAUAGGUGGAGCUGAUGAAGUGGAUGACUGAACAGAAUGUGAAGAAUGAAGGAACAGAACGGAGGAUCUGGACUGGAUGAUGCGCAGGAGGAUGGUGGUAAAAGCUUGUCCUGGAAUGGUUGGUGCGUGUGGUCCACUGCAGGCUUCAACCCUCCAAUUCGGUGUAGGAUGGAGGAGGUUUGGAAGCUGAAGGAAGAGAUGGAAGGAUGUCCACAUCGAGCUGUAAUCAGAAAUGUAACACGAUCCAUCAGCUCAACUUAUUUCACUUAAAAACUUUGAAAAUGAAGAGGGUCACGUGUGUCAGAAUUUCCUCCGAAGUCAAACGAUUCUC